CGGUGGGUAGAGCAGCGGACCAGUAGUGUUGUUACCCCGCAGGGGGCGGCGAGGCGGCGGCGCCAAAUCGCGCAGAAGGGGACGCGAGCGCCCGCCCGCCCCCAGCAGCGGCGGCCCGGCCCCGAGCGGGCCCCUCUCCCGGGGCUGCGGGUCUCCCGGGCGGUGCCGGCGGCCGCCCUGGAGGCCGGGAAGCGCGGCGGCUGGUUCCGCGCCCGAGCCCCGCGGCGCGGCUCUCCGCGCCCCCUCUCCGGGCCUGGGGUGGCCGGUGACAGCUCAGGCGGCGGAGCGUGUGUGCCUGUGCGUUGGCGAGGGGGCGGCCGCAGGGGGAGCCCGCGGCGCCGCGGCCCCCUCCCCGGGUCACACCCUCCGCCGCGGGAGGAGGCUGCAGGGCGGCCGGGCCCCGGCUGGUGGGCAGUGGGGCGGGGGCGCCCGUGGCUGCGCGCCCUCUCGCCCCGGCCCCCGGCAGCCGGAGGCCCCGGGAAGACGCGCGGAACCCUCCCGCCGCCACUUCGCGCGUCCCCCAAAGUCUGGGCCCGAGCCCGCGCCCCGGCCUCAGGUGCACUUCCCACCCGCGGGGGGCGGCGCGGGCUGGGGACCGCGCGGGGGGCGGGAGUGAAAAGUUUCUUUUCCUGCUCGCCCGCCGCCCACCCGGGAGGCCGCUGCUCUGCCCUCUCCCGAGCUCGCGGCGCCGUCGCCCCACCCCCACCCCCACCGUGGGGGGGACGCCGAGGAAGGACCGGGGUCUGCGCGCGGGGGCGCGGGGGCAGGUCGCUGAGGAGCGGCGGCCGCGACCGGCCCCCGGGCUGUGCCUGUGACAGCGGCCGACGAGCGGCGGGCGGUGCCUGCGCGGGGCGAGCCGAGGCAGGGGCUCCGCGCCGGGUCCCCUCCCCCUCCCCCUCCGCGCGCCCCCGCGCCGCCCCGCGCGCCCCCGCGCCCCGCGCCCCGCGCCCCCGCGCCCGCCGGGGCAGCACCUACGCAGACGCGAAAGUGAAAGGGGGGGCGGGCGCACGGCGGGGGGCAGAGGACCGAGCCGGGACCCGCGAGCCCGGGGCUCUCCCGCUGCCGCUGCCCUGCGGAGCCGUCGGCCGCCUGCGGGCUCCGGAGCCUCCCCGGAGUCCCACGUCCGUCACUCUCUGCCACGCAGAUCACCCUUAUCAGGGGAUGUGUGUGCCUGUGUGUGCGCGCGCGUGUUCACGUGCACUCGCGUGUGUGAGAUGUACGUUCAGCCCGACUCUUCCACUGCACCGUUACACUUAG
rnacentral:lncRNA from 12 species